CAUGUCACCUUAGAAUGAAUGCUUAUCUUUUCUCUAGUAUGAACUAAACACAUUUUUAUUGUUAGUCUGAAAUAAAAGGCUGAAAUAAAAGGCUGUUUAAUCAGACAUUACUGUAAGCUAUUGUUACAAGAUAAUAAUGAUAUCAGGCAAUACUAAUUUCAAAUUGUGUUCCAACAUUUGUAUCAGUGCUGUAUUGAGCUAAGUUUCCAAUUGGAAAUGAAUAAUUAUUCCUUACUACUGCUAGGACUUUUCUUGGUAUUGGCAAUGUUUGCCAACAUAAUUUUGGCUUAAUCGCAUACCUCAUGAUUUAUUGGAACUAUUAUAUUGCUCAUAUACUUAGUAAACUGAAUUUAAGAAUGAUGUGUAUCUAUCAUUCUUUGGAUCAGAACCAAUGCAUAUCUAUCAUGGCAAGACAUAUCUAAAUACAGUAUAACUAAUUUUACUCUUCGGUGUGUUACUAUUCAUCAUCAUUGUUAUGCUGGAGAAGGCAGAUGCAAUUGGCAGUUUACAAAGUGGAUUUGUUUUGGUGGCAUUAUUCGGAUUUCCGUGGGAUAGAGGGAUGAUAAUAAGCACUUGUGGAUUUCAAGAAUUCAGGAUAGAGUUUAAGACAUUGUUGAAAUCUUCCAGUGCUUCUCCAUCGUUCCAAAAUUAUGAAAAAGUAACAGUUAGUACUCACUGCAUUUCAAAAUGUAAGGUAGGCGCAUGGAAAUAAUGAGUUUUGACUCUCUCAGCUCUUUUCGUUAUUUAUGAUUAAACACACUACUCGCUGUGGUCCUGUAAAAGCUGUAGUUUUGGACAAGAAAUCAAGAAUAGGGCUGAACUUGCAAUUUUUGACAGAUAAAUACCCUAAGAAUAUUUGGAUCUGGUACUCGAAAUUAUAUUUGUGAAAGUAUCUUGGUAAGUAAUUUCACAAUAAACACUUCUUUAGAUUUAUUCAAUAUACCUAUUAUCUCCCCUAUUCCCAAGUCAAUACAAAUAGGGAUACCAUGAUCAUUUCCCUCUACUAUUGAUGGCUUCCUUAAUCCCUGUGCAAUACGAAAAUACACCUUAUAAAGUAAAAAAAGGAGGGAAUAGUUACUUAUAUGAGGCGAAUUCUGGAGUUCUGGCAGAUUUGACAGAAAAGCACAAGUAGUUAGCCUUCUCUUUGAAAACAUAGUUUAUUAAGUUUAUAUAAUAGUAGUUUUAUAACGUGAGGCUUCGGUGUAAAAGCAUGGAGACAUGUCUUUCUGGAAGAACUAGUUUGAUAAUAGCUUUCCUUUUAUUGAAGUCCACCAGAUCAAGUGUUUUAAUUGAUUGUUACUCAAUUUUGGUGCCUCCCUUGUUUGAUAUAGCUGGAGCAGCUUCUUAAACUACCUAAGCACGGAGGGAGCAUUGUGCGGUCAGGUCAGCUUGGUUCACCUGAUGUUGCAGUUUUGGUAUCCUUGUUUGUACUUCUCAUUAAAUUGAUACUUCUUAGCGGCCCUGUAUGAUCAUUUGAGGACAUGGUUUUGCAGGUUUGCUUUGUGGAAUUGUAGAAAAAUGAAUAUACAGCCAAAGCAUGUGUCGAGACUCCAGGCCUCAUUCGUCAAUAGGAAGCAUUCUGAAGGAUGGCACACUAUAAGUGGCAACUAAUUUCAAGAACUAUACAUAUCUCCACUCUGGUGGCUCAGGGACUCAGGGUGCGUCAUUUCUUGAAGGGAGUGGAUGGAGAUGCUGUGUUUAUCUUCCCUUUCUUCAUGUUGUAUCCGUUGAUCUCUUCCUUGUGGGUUAGGUACUCGUACAUGACAUCUAGCUGGAGAUUCUCGAUUUUUUAGUGUAGCAGUUGUACCCUGGUGGGCUCACUGUAAUCAUGUUUCUGAGAACCGGUGAUGACUGGGCAUAGUGGCAUUUAAAAGGCUGUAACCACCUAGUGAACUCGAAUUAGUGCCAUUGGGUUUUAGAGGAAGCCUCCAUCUGGUAAACUGUAAUUUUACACUGACGCUCUGGGCAUCCGUUCUA